rnacentral:rRNA from 1 species
GACGUGACUUCAGAGUUUGAUCCUGGCUCAGGACGAACGCUGGCGGCGUGCCUAACACAUGCAAGUCGAGCGGAGCCAAUUAGCAGAUCCCUUCGGGGUGACGCUGAGGAAGCUUAGCGGCGGACGGGUGAGUAACGCGUGAGUAACCUGCCCAUAAGAGAGGGAUAACACAGAGAAAUUUGUGCUAAUACCUCAUAUUGAGUUUAAAUCGCAUGGUUUUAACUUGAAAGAUUUAUCGCUUAUGGAUGGACUCGCGUCUGAUUAGCUAGUUGGUGAGGUAAUGGCUCACCAAGGCGACGAUCAGUAGCCGAACUGAGAGGUUGAUCGGCCACAUUGGGACUGAGACACGGCCCAG